rnacentral:rRNA from 1 species
CACCAGACUCCUACGGGAGGCAGCAGUGAGGAAUAUUGGUCAAUGGUCGGGAGACUGAACCAGCCAAGCCGCAUGAGGGAUGAAGGUACAGAGUAUCGUAAACCUCUUUUGUCAGGGAACAAAGGCGGGGACGUGUCCCCGGAUGAGUGUGCCUGAAGAAAAAGCAUCGGCUAACUCCGUGCCAGCAGCCGCGGUAAUACGGAGGAUGCGAGCGUUAUCCGGAUUUAUUGGGUUUAAAGGGUGCGCAGGCGGUCUUUUAAGUCAGCGGUAAAAGCCCGGAGCCCACCCCCGGCCCGCCGUUGAAACUGGCAGUCUCGAGUUGGAGAGAAGUAUGCGGAAUGCGCGGUGUAGCGGUGAAAUGCAUAGAUAUCGCGCAGAACUCCGAUUGCGAAGGCAGCAUGCCGGCUCCACACUGACGCUGAGGCACGAAAGCGUGGGUAUCGAACAGGAUUAGAACCCCAGUAAC